rnacentral:rRNA from 1 species
UGGGGAAUUUUGGACAAUGGGCGCAAGCCUGAUCCAGCAAUGCCGCGUGCAGGGUGAAGGCCUUCGGGUUGUAAACUGCUUUUGUACGGAGCGAAAAGGUCUGCCCUAAUACGGUGGGCUCAUGACGGUACCGUAAGAAUAAGCACCGGCUAACUACGUGCCAGCAGCCGCGGUAAUACGUAGGGUGCGAGCGUUAAUCGGAAUUACUGGGCGUAAAGCGUGCGCAGGCGGCUAUACAAGACAGAGGUGAAAUCCCCGGGCUCAACCUGGGAACUGCCUUUGUGACUGCAUAGCUAGAGUACGGUAGAGGGGGAUGGAAUUCCGCGUGUAGCAGUGAAAUGCGUAGAUAUGCGGAGGAACACCGAUGGCGAAGGCAAUCCCCUGGACCUGUACUGACGCUCAUGCACGAAAGCGUGGGGAGCAAACA